CAGCAGCCGCGGUAAUACAGAGGGUGCAAGCGUUAAUCGGAAUUACUGGGCGUAAAGCGCGCGUAGGUGGUUUGUUAAGUUGGAUGUGAAAGCCCCGGGCUCAACCUGGGAACUGCAUCCAAAACUGGCAAGCUAGAGUACGGUAGAGGGUGGUGGAAUUUCCUGUGUAGCGGUGAAAUGCGUAGAUAUAGGAAGGAACACCAGUGGCGAAGGCGACCACCUGGACUGAUACUGACACUGAGGCACGAAAGCGUGGGGAGCAAACAGGAUUAGAUACCCCAGUAGUCCCUGUCUCUUAUAC
rnacentral:rRNA from 1 species